GAAGCAACGCGAAGAACCUUACCAGGUCUUGACAUCCCGGCGACCGUCCUAGAGAUAGGAUUUUGCUUAGGCACACCGGUGACAGGUGGUGCAUGGUUGUCGUCAGCUCGUGUCGUGAGAUGUUGGGUUAAGUCCCGCAACGAGCGCAACCCUUAUUGUUAGUUGCCAUCGUUGAGUUGGGCACUCUAGCGAGACUGCCGGUAAUAAACCGGAGGAAGGUGGGGAUGACGUCAAAUCAUCAUGCCCCUUAUGACCUGGGCUACACACGUGCUACAAUGGCUGGUACAACGAGUCGCAAGUCGGUGACGGCAAGCUAAUCUCUUAAAGCCAGUCUCAGUUCGGAUUGUAGGCUGCAACUCGCCUACAUGAAGUCGGAAUCGCUAGUAAUCGGGGAUCAGCACGCCGCGGUGAAUACGUUCCCGGGCCUUGUACACACCGCCCGUCACACCACGAGAGUUUGUAACACCCGAAGUCGGUGAGGUAACCUUUUAGGAGCCAGCCGCCUAGGGUGGGUUUAUAUUGGGGUGAAGUCGUAACAAGGUAGCCG
rnacentral:rRNA from 1 species